CCUACGGGCGGCAGCAGUGAGGAAUAUUGGUCAAUGGACGAGAGUCUGAACCAGCCAAGUAGCGUGAAGGAUGACUGCCCUAUGGGUUGUAAACUUCUUUUAUAUGGGAAUAAAACGUUCCACGUGUGGGAUUUUGUAUGUACCAUAUGAAUAAGGAUCGGCUAACUCCGUGCCAGCAGCCGCGGUAAUACGGAGGAUCCGAUCGUUAGCCGGUUUUAUUGGGUUUAAAGGGAGCGUAGGUGGAUUGUUAAGUCAGUUGUGAAAGUUUGCGGCUCAACCGUAAAAUUGCAGUUGAAACUGGCAGUCUUGAGUACAGUAGAGGUGGGCGGAAUUCGUGGUGUAGCGGUGAAAUGCUUAGAUAUCACGAAGAACUCCGAUUGCGAAGGCAGUUCACUGGACUGCAACUGACACUGAGGCUCGAAAGUGUGGGUAUCAAACAGGAUUAGAUACCCGAGUAGUC
rnacentral:rRNA from 1 species